ACGCCCCUGUUCGCCGUUGAAUUGAAUGCCUCUGGUAAUUGUUUCUUCCAUUCUUGCUACUCACUUGGUAUUAUGGUUUUGCUAAAUUGCUAUCUGUUAAACCUUGAAAGUUCGAACCUUUUUCUACAAACCAUAGCUGAUUUCUUUACUGGGGUUUAAUUUUUUCUGGCGUUUCGUUUAGCGCCAGCUUCAUGAUUAUCGGCAAUGGUCGUAGAAAUCUCAAACAACGAAUAACUUCUUCUUCUAAGGCUCCCCUUUUUGCAUUCUUAAAUCAAUCCACACUCACUUGUCUACACUCCCAGAAGCACAGCUACACCAAUGUGUACAUGAAAUGGAAAAAAGAUUCAUACUUUGACUCAAUUGAAUCAAUUCACAAAUCCAUCGAACUCAAACCCAUAAUUGCUCUUAAGAACUGUAUUACUGCCUCUCCAGAGGGCCGCAUCCCCAUCUCUGAUGUUUCAAAGAAAGGCUUACAAUUAGAUAUACCAAUUAAGGUGGCUAGGUUUCUUAGACUGUACCCAUCGGUCUUUGAAGAGUUCACCGGACCCAAAUACAAUAUGCCAUGGUUUAGGUUAACCCCAGAGGCUGUUAUGCUUAAUGAUGAAGAACAAGCUGUUUAUAGGGAUUAUAAGGCUGAUCUACAAGAAAGGUUGAAGAAACUAAUACUUAUGAGUGUUGAGAAUAGGUUGCCAUUGAAGGUAAUCCAAGGUAUGCUGUGGUACUUGGGGUUUCCGGAUGAUUAUGUGCGGAACCCUGAAGGAAAUCUUGAUGGGUGUUUUAAGGUAGUGGAAAUGGAAGAUGGGUUAAAGGGGUUAGCAGUUGUGAAAAGUGAAAAGGUUUUGUCUGUACUUGAGAGGAAUGCAUUGAGGAGUGGAGUUGAUAAUGGUGGACAAAUGGACGCUAUUUCAAUUCCAUUGUUUCCAUCUAAAGGUUUGAGGUUGAGGACAAAGAUUUUGGAUUGGUUGGACGGUUUUCAGAGACUUCCCUAUGUUUCACCGUAUGAGGAAUGCCCGGAUUUGUACCCAGAUAGUGACGUGGCUGAGAAACGUGUUGUGGGUUUGCUUCAUGAGUUGCUUAGUCUAUUUGUUGAACAUUCUGCUCAAAGGAAGAAGCUUUUGUGCUUGAGAAAGUAUUUGGGCUUGCCACAGAAGGUUCAUAAGGCGUUUGAGCGACAUCCCCAUGUGUUUUAUCUAUCUUUGAGGAAUAAAACGUGCACUGUAAUAUUAAAAGAAGCGUAUUGUGAUAAAACAGCUAUAGAGACACACCCUCUGGCCAGGGUAAGGAAAAGGUAUAUUGAUUUGGUGAAGGAAUCAAAAGUGAUAUUGAAAAACAGAAGGCUUCAGAACCGAUCUUUUUGCUCUGGUGAUGAGAAUUUGAGGUUGAAUUCAGGUGAGGAUGAUACUCAUAAUGCAAUUGCAAGGUCAGAGAUUUCUUAAUGAUGUUCUUUAAAGAACAUAAAUUUCUUUAUCUUGCUAAAUUUUCCCUACAAGCUUUUAACACGAUAUGAAGCCUGUUCAGUUGUUGGUUUUCUUGGUAGAUAGAAGUUUGAUUGUUCUUCCUUUUGUUUAUUUUCUCAUCUCAAUGCCUUUGGUUCUUAUAGGAUGCAAAUAACAGGGAAUUCUUAGCUGAAGAAAAUGAAAAGAAGCAGAAUGCAAUUAAGGAGAACCAAACAGCGGCCAAGCCUGAUGUUGAUGACGUAAAGGAACAAAUCAUACCCAUUACAUCAAGCUUCAGGGUAUCCAAGGAAGCUAAAAGGAGGAGAGGUAACAACUGUGUU